rnacentral:rRNA from 1 species
UACGAAGGGGGCUAGCGUUGCUCGGAAUUACUGGGCGUAAAGCGCACGUAGGCGGCUUUCUAAGUCAGGGGUGAAAUCCCGGGGCUCAACCCCGGAACUGCCUUUGAUACUGGGUAUCUCGAGUCCGAGAGAGGUGAGUGGAAUUCCGAGUGUAGAGGUGAAAUUCGUAGAUAUUCGGAGGAACACCAGUGGCGAAGGCGGCUCACUGGCUCGGUACUGACGCUGAGGUGCGAAAGCGUGGGGAGCAAACAGG